UAAGCGUCGGCCAGGCGGCGUGGGUACGAGGAUGGGGGCAGGAGGUACUGGGAAGUACUGGGGGUAAAUGGGUGGGAGUGGUGUUGUUAAUACAGCCGUGAAAUCCCCGGGCGCAACCUGGGAAGGGCGGGGGAUACUGGCAAGCUGGAGUGCGGUAGAGGGUAGUGGAAUUCCCGGUGGAGCAGUGAAAUGCGUAGAGAUCGGGAGGAACACCAGUGGCGAAGGCGGCUACCUGGACCAGCACUGACACUGAGGCACGAAAGCGUGGGGAGCAAACAGGAUUAGAUACCCCUGUAGUC
rnacentral:rRNA from 1 species